rnacentral:rRNA from 1 species
AAUAUUGCACAAUGGGGGAAACCCUGAUGCAGCGACGCCGCGUGAGUGAAGAAGUAUUUCGGUAUGUAAAGCUCUAUCAGCAGGGAAGAAAAUGACGGUACCUGACUAAGAAGCCCCGGCUAACUACGUGCCAGCAGCCGCGGUAAUACGUAGGGGGCAAGCGUUAUCCGGAUUUACUGGGUGUAAAGGGAGCGUAGACGGCGCGGCAAGUCUGAAGUGAAAGCCCGGGGCUUAACCCCGGGACUGCUUUGGAAACUGCCAUGCUGGAGUGCUGGAGAGGUAAGUGGAAUUCCUAGUGUAGCGGUGAAAUGCGUAGAUAUUAGGAGGAACACCAGUGGCGAAGGCGGCUUACUGGACAGUAACUGACGUUGAGGCUCGAAGGCGUGGGGAGCAAACAG